rnacentral:lncRNA from 1 species
GCUUCAGCCAGGAGUCCUCUCUCUCCCCGAUGAUUUCCCUCUCUUUGCUUAAGCUGGCCUGAGACAGUCCAGGUCCCUGAAACAGGGAAACAGGCUUGGCCUCCUUGCCACUCACUCCUGGGCAGAGGCAACCUUUUCUCCCCAGACCUCCCCCGCUUGCUCACAGCCACCUUCAAAGAGAAACCAGACGCGGUUGGACAGGAUGUUGGCCUGGAGCCUCCGCAGAGUGGGCUGGCCCACUGCCAGCACCCAAGAGCAGCUGCUCUGUCCCUCACCCUCCAGAACCAGCGUCCUCUUCACAGCCCUCACAGGUAAAACAUGGGC